AUUGAACGCUGGCGGCAUGCCUUACACAUGCAAGUCGAACGGCAGCGGACCUUCGGGUGCCGGCGAGUGGCGAACGGGUGAGUAAUAUAUCGGAACGUACCUUUCAGUGGGGGAUAACGUAGCGAAAGUUACGCUAAUACCGCAUAUUCUGUGAGCAGGAAAGCAGGGGAUCGCAAGACCUUGCGCUGAUUGAGCGGCCGAUAUCAGAUUAGCUAGUUGGUGAGGUAAAGGCUCAUCAAGGCGACGAUCUGUAGCGGGUCUGAGAGGAUGAUCCGCCACACUGGAACUGAGACACGGUCCAGACUCCUACGGGAGGCAGCAGUGGGGAAUUUUGGACAAUGGGCGCAAGCCUGAUCCAGCCAUGCCGCGUGAGUGAAGAAGGCCUCGGUUGUAAGAC
rnacentral:rRNA from 1 species